AACGAACGCUGGCGGCAGGCUUAACACAUGCCAGUCGAACGCCCCGCAAGGGGAGUGGCCGACGGGUGAGUAACGCGUGGGAACAUACCCUUUUCUACGGAAUAGCUCUGGGAAACUGGAAUUAAUACCGUAUACGCCUUACGGGGGAAAGAUUUAUCGGGGAAGGAUUGGCCCGCGUUGGAUUAGCUAGUUGGUGGGGUAAAGGCCUACCAAGGCGACGAUCCAUAGCUGGUCUGAGAGGAUGAUCAGCCACAUUGGGACUGAGACACGGCCCAAACUCCUACGGGAGGCAGCAAUGGGGAAUAUUGGACAAUGGGCGCAAGCCUGAUCCAGCCAUGCCGCGUGAGUGAUGAAGGCCUUAGGGUUGUAAAGCUCUUUCACCGAUGAAGAUAAUGACGGUAGUCGGAGAAGAAGCCCCGGCUAACUUCGUG
rnacentral:rRNA from 1 species